rnacentral:rRNA from 1 species
CCCUUAGACGUUCUGGGCCGCACGCGCGCUACACUGACCAGUGCAACAAGCAUCCGUCCUUGGCCGACAGGCCCGGGCAAUCUUUGAACGCUGGUCGUGAUGGGGAUAGACUUUUGCAAUUUUUGGUCUUCAACGAGGAAUUCCUAGUAAACGCAAGUCGUCAACUUGCAUUGAUUACGUCCCUGCCCUUUGUACACACCGCCCGUCGCACCUACCGAUUGAAUGGUCCGGUGAAGCCUCCGGAUUGGCGCGCACCUCGGUGCCGCCGAGAAGUUGGCUAAACCUUACCAUUUAGAGGAAGGUGAAGUCGUAACA